ensembl:lncRNA
GGGUAGGGCUGGGUAGGGAGAUCAAGUUAUAGAAGUUUGCAACAAGGGACAGGUAGUCUGAACAUCAAAAGAAUUGUGAAUUGAAGAAAACCAAGGAAUUUAGUGUUUUCUAUGUACCAAAAGAUGCAAGUGUCUGGGCUCACUGAAAUCGUUCUUUUCAUAUGCAUCUCAGCUAUCUGGGGCCAGAUCCUGUUUUUUCUCAGUGCUCACCAUAGGGAUAGGGAAUAGCUGCAACCUAAUGGCUGCCCUGCAGCAGGUCUUAUUUUCCUUCCUGGUUGCCCCGGAUGGCUGGAAUCACUGAUAACUGUGACAUCCUUGUUUAUUGAUAUGGCAGGAAAUACUCCAUUUCUCAAAGAGUUCCUAUAUUUAUGGCAUUUUGUCUUCAUAAGAACACUGUGGAAUGGCUAUUGUGAUCUGCAACCUAUAGAUGAGGAAGCAGAUGAAGUCAUAAUUCCAAGACAAAAAAUAGGCAGAACUGAGUCUCUGAUGUCAUAUUCCAGGUACACAGUCUUUCUAUAGCAAGGUAACUGUCAGUACAAAAACUACAUCCCAGUUGCCUACUAAAUAAGUGUUAUUUAAAAAACACCUGUUUGUAUAAACAUUUUGAAUUACCCUAAUAUUAAAAUGAUAAAAGAGGGAAAAGUUAUUAAUUCAUACAUCAGAAAUUAUCCUUAUGUAAUUAUAUGAUACUCAUGUGUAUCUGGCUGGUAGUGGUGGUGGUGAUUUAGUCGCUAAGUCAUCUCUGACUCUUGCGACCCCAUGGACUGUAACCCACCAAGCUCCUCUGUCCUUAGGAUUCUCCAGGCAAGAAUAUUAGAGUGGGUUGCCAUUUCCUUCUCCAGGGGAUCUUUCCCACCCAGGAAUCGAACCUGGGUCUCCUGCAUUGCAAGCAGAUUCUUUACCAACUGAGCUGUGAGGUAAUCUCUCUGCUUGGUGGUAAAUAUUAAUAAAUAAACUUCUGACCAACUAAAUGAACACAUUGGUUAAAUCUGUGUAGAAAUGCUUAGAUUGUAUUUAAAAUUAACUACUAUGAAAACGUUGUGUAUUAAACUCUCAAGUGUAGAAAAAUAGGGAAGGAAGAAUAACCUAUUUUCCCUCCCAAGGCCCUUAUUUUGUAAAAUAGACAAUCAGGCAAUCACCACAUAUAGUACUACUAGAAAAAGGGAAUUACUGUUGGAUUAAAACCUACAUACACAGCACCAUCUUUCCUGGAAGAGCACAAUGUAACUAGAUCCCACUGGAGAUAGCACUAAGGGAUUGUCAAAAUGCUUGUCACACUGGAAUUUCCUUCUGUUGACUAUUCUUCAAAUAAAUAGACUAAGCUUAAGAUUGGAAUUCUUAUGUAAGCAUAGCAGUAAGAUAGAGUCUUAUGUAGGUUGAUCUUUCAUGAAAAAAAGUAUUUUUACAGGUAGAAUUCCUUUCUACUUUUUUUUUAGUAUUUUUAUUUAUAUUUACUUUUUGGAUCUUCGUUGCUGCACGGGCUUUCUCUCGUUGCAGUUGAGUGGAAGCUACUCUCUAGUUGCAGUGUGCAGGCCUGUGGUGGCUUCUCUUGUUGUGGAGCUGGGGCUGUAGGCGCACGGGCUCGGUAGCUGUGGUGCAUGGGACUAGGUGCCCUGCAGCACGUGAGGUCUUCCCAGACCAGGGCUCAAACCCAUGUCCCCUGCAUUGGCACGUGGAUUCUUAAGCACUGGACCACCAGAGAAGUCCCUAGAGUUUCUAAUGUUAUAUAUUUGAAAUAUAUAAAUAUUCUUAUUUUUUGUGAUUUAUUUCAUGCUGUUGCUUUUGUCCUGAGCCUUGGCAAAGUUAAAAUUCACCAGCAUUCCUUACACCUAUCAAGACAAGUGAUCACAUGGUAGAUAACAAAAGGGACAGCACCAAAUUUGGUGUACACCGAAGUGUAAACUGUCAAGAGUUGGGAACAUCUAACAAUUAAGACUGGAGCAAUUAUGUGCAGGAGAGGGGCUGGUGAGCCUCCCUGGAUAUACUGGAACAUUUCAUUACUAUUCUAUCCUUCCCUUCCCAGCAGCCGCCAAAGUCAUGAACACAAGCCCCAAUAUUCCCCAGCAAGAAUUCCUGGCAAUACAAGGCACUGACAUCGCACGGUGUAGCAAAAAGGGCAGUGACUUUGGAAUCAGUUCUGCAUCCAAACUCGAGCUCUGCCAUAUACAAGUUGUUCAAAUUACUAAACAUCUCUAAGCCUCAGUUUUCUUUUCUGUAAAAUGGGGGUCAUGUUUCACUUGAUUGGGAAAAUUAGAUCAGGUACAAAGCAACCAGCAUGGUAUCUGACAUAUAAGAGGUGCUUAAUAAACAGCUGCUACUGCCCUAUGGAAGAAGAAAACCAUGCCAGUUUUGAAUAACCGAUACUUUGGAUUUGUGAGCGUCAAGCACAACAAUCGUAAGCAGAGGUAAACUACCUAUACAGUAGAGGAAAGUAAAGCGUUAGUUGCUCAGUUGUAUCCAACUCUUUGAGGAAGCUGGCACCAUAAUUUCUGCUUUUUUACAGUCCAGGGUGGCCUUUUAAAGGCACAGAUCCUUCUACUGCUGUAUCUUCUUUAUCUUCUUUGUGCUUAGGGAAAGAAGAAAAAGAAAAAAACAUCUCACUUAAUGAAAGGAAGACUUUGCAGUGGUUUUUAAAGCUUUACAAUUUCAGUGAAAUGGUUGGAACAUCCAAAACAUUCCAUUAAAAAGGAAAAAAAAAAUCUACCUGUAAACAUACAUGUAUCACCAAAGACAGAAACUUACCUAAGACUUGGGUGAAAUUAAAGGAAUUAGUCCUUGGUUGGAAGAGAAUUCCAGGCUCCAUGUAUUUCAAUUGCACAGUGAAGAUGGUACAUUAAAUGGAGCAAACAGCAAGACCAGUUAGCUUUGGGAGAGAAUGAGAUACUUAAGCAACAGUAAACUUAGCCUUUAGUUGUGCCAUUUCUUUAGAUGGAAAGAUAAUUUAUAAGAAUAAAGUAAAAUGUCAGAGGUAAUUAAGAUGAUAUUAACAUUUAUGGGCUUCCCUGGUAGCUCAGUUGGUAAAGAAUCUGCCUGCAAUGCAGGAGACCCCGGUUUGAUUCCUGGGUUGGGAAGAUCCGCUGGAAAGGGGAUAGGCUACCCACUCCAAUAUUCUUUGGCUUUCCUGGUGGCUCAGACGGUGAAGCAUCUGUCUGCAAUGCAGGAGACCUGGGUUUGAUCCCUGGGUUGGGAAGAUCCCCUGGAGAAGGAAAUGGCAGCCCACUCCGGUCUUCUUGCUUGGAAAAUCCCAUGGACAGCCUGGUAGGCUACUGUCCAUGGGGUCGCAAAGAGUCGGACACAACUGAGCAACUUCACUUCUUCACCCACUCCAAUAUUCUGGCCUAGAGAAUUCCAUGGACUGUAUAGUCCAUGGGGUUGUAAAGAGUCAGAAAGUGAACAACUUUCACUUUAUAAUUUUAUACUCAGGACUGUGCUGGGCACCAAAGACAGUAAAUGAGGAAUUUCCCAUUGGUUGAAGAUACAACUCUUAAAAGCAUGAACUAGUAUAGUAAUAGUGGCUCCUUAAGAGCCAAUGUAAGUGGUGAAAACAAGAUCAGAGGAAGGCCUGGAAGCAUCAUAAAGAUUUCAGAGGGGAGGUGGGAGUCCAACAGAACCUUUAAAGAUCACAGGAUUUAAAUAUGAGAAAGAAGAAGAGCAUUAGAGGAAACGGGAAGCCACUGGAUAAUAGUAUAUGGCACUAACAAGAUGAAAACAGAAUUGUAGGAAGACCUAUCUGGUAACAGGAGCCAAGACCUAAGUGGUAAAGAAUCCACCUGUCAAUGCGGGAGACGGGCUCGAGCCCUGAAUCGGAAAGAUCCCACAUGCCGUGGAGCAACUGAGCCCUUGUGCCACAACCGCUGAGCCUGCGCUCCAGAGCCCGGGAACCACAGCUGCUAAAGCCCGCAUGCCCUGGAGCCUGUGCUCUGCAACAAGAGAAGCCACCCCAACGAGAAGCCCGCGUGCCGCAGCUAGAGAGGAGCCCGCGCAGCGACGAAGACCCGGCCCAGCCAAAAC